rnacentral:lncRNA from 1 species
CAAGUUCAAACUGUUUCUCCUCAUUGAAAGGCUUUUCUUUGUUUGUUUGUUUUAGACUCUGGAUGCUUACUCAUGAGGGAUGUAAUAGAGGAGAAUCCACUUCAGAUGAGUAUUGGACAAAAUGCUCUUCAAGGUCCCUGCCAUAUCUAAAAUUCUGGGAGUUAAAAACUGGACAUUCCUUUGCCCUGUGGUGCUCAACUUUCUCAGGUUCUCAGAUGCCACUUAACUAGGGGACUUCUGCUAGACAAGCUCCUCACCUUUUCAGUGCUGCCUCUCAGCAGCUAGAGUAUUUAAAACAAACUCUCCUUCACUCUGAAGAAUCCAUCCAGCUGGCCACUAGGGAGGGUGGAGAGAGCCAUGGCUGGAUCACUCAACAAAGCAAAUAUUAAAUGUCCUAGCCACUGAGUUUCACCCAGAGGAACAGAACUACUUGAAGCUAUUCCAGAUAUCUACAAGGAAUGACUGGCACUGUGGAAACUUACCAUAUCCACCCUCCACACACACACACCAUCAAGGCUGAGAACUUUAGAGCCAGGAGGCACCUAAAAGAUCAUCUUGUCCAGUCUCCCCCACCCAUCCAUUUUACCUUAUUUUUAAAGGUCAGGCUCUUCGUGCCUUCUGGAGCAAAAACUGGAUAAUCUAAGCUAAUGUAAGAAGACUAAAGAGAAUCCAGCAGUCUUCUCGGUCAUCCCAGGUAACAGCCACAUAUUUUAACAAACAUGCCCAUCUGGGGAAAGGAAUUCCCUUGUUUCAAGGCAUCUAAUUCCAAAAAAC